rnacentral:rRNA from 1 species
AUUGAACGCUGGCGGCAGGCCUAACACAUGCAAGUCGAGCGGAUGACGGGAGCUUGCUCCUUGAUUCAGCGGCGGACGGGUGAGUAAUGCCUAGGAAUCUGCCUGAUAGUGGGGGACAACGUUUCGAAAGGAACGCUAAUACCGCAUACGUCCUACGGGAGAAAGCAGGGGACCUUCGGGCCUUGCGCUUUCAGAUGAGCCUAGGUCGGAUUAGCUAGUUGGUGGGGUAAUGGCUCACCAUGGCGACGAUCCGUAACUGGUCUGAGAGGAUGAUCAGUCACACUGGAACUGAGACACGGUCCAGACUCCUACGGGAGGCAGCAGUGGGGAAUAUUGGACAAUGGGCGAAAGCCUGAUCCAGCCAUGCCGCGUGUGUGAAGAAGGUCUUCGGAUUGUAAAGCACUUUAAGUUGGGAGGAAGGGCAGUAAGUUAAUACCUUGCUGUUUUGACGUUACCGACAGAAUAAGCACCGGCUAACUCUGUGCCAGCCGCCGCGGUAAGAC